AAAAUAAUUCAAUAUUUUCUUUUAAAAUUUUACGCUUCCUUCUAAAUAUUUUAAGCAGCACAGCAUACAUUCAUCACUUGGUUCACUCCUGUUACUAAAUCAUGAUACUCUUCCUUCUUCUUCUCUGUUGUCCUUGUUGUUGUUUUCUCUUUUUGCUGCUGCUAUUGUUACUGUGGUUUGAGGAGCGAAAUUCGAUCUCAUAUUCUUUGUUCAUGUUGUGGCUCGCUUCGAUUUACCUCAUUUGUUACCGAAUUCAGUGAUUUCUUCACCGCCGUUAGGGAUCGAGCCUUCGAGUUUGUCCUGGACGGUUCUUUCGAAUGGAUGCGCCAGCUCCAUGGAGGCUUGCUCGGGCGGCGCGUGUGAGUUUCAUGGUUGAUUGCGGAGGCGCGUUGGUCUCCGAUCUCUCCUAGACGAACGCUUGAACGGCGUUCAGAAUCAAAAUCAUGAAUAACCUAAAUCCCUAACCCCAACCCUAACACAAUUUCCCCAAUUUCACAACACUGAUGUGCGUAUUCUGCGUUUCUCUCUGCUCUGCCGAGUUCUGCUCUACUCCGCCGUGUUCUUCUGCUCCGCUGUGUUCUUCUCCUCGCAUCGAGUUCUGCUUUGCUCCACCAUGCUCUUCUGCUCGCGCCGAGAAAUUUCAUGUAACUCAAUUAGAUCACAGUAAGGCCAUCUGCAGAUAAAUGUGAGGCAGAGUUGUUAAGCAAGAAAUAUGAGGAGAAGUACAAACAUUGUAGCGGAAAUAACAUCCAAAUUGAUUGUUGAAGAAGCUAAAUUUCGUGAUAUACAGGUAAUUAGAAAUUUGCAUUAUUAUUUGGCAAAUAGUAAAAGGAAUUUAGGGAAGAAUGAAUUGUUAUUAGCCUUGCUUAAUGGAUGUAAAGGUAAUUAUAAAGGUAAGAAGAAUGAGAUUUUGCAGCGAGAAAGGAGAGAAGAAAAGGAUUUUUCUGUGGUCUGAGGUUCUUCUUGUGAGGAUUUUGCUCCUACUUAAUGGGUCUACUUAAAGAGCUUUUGUUUUUAGUAAUUGACUGUGUGGGAUUGGCUUGGUUUUUUCUAGUUUUGAAAUUUUGCUGAAAAUAAGCUUUCUUCAGCUGAUUUUUGUCCUCCACCCCCGGAAGGUAUGUUAUGUAUACACUCUUGUUUGCAUAUUCUUCCUUGUUCAUCUCCCUUUCUAUUCUCCACUGUUUUGGAGCUAGUUAUUGUUGCGUACCCUUGUUUCUUUACCAGUUGUUGGAAGCUGAGUUGUGUACUUUUCACAAGGUCACAGUGAACAGAAGCAUGCAAAUUGCUGAGGCUCUCCAAAUGCAAAUGGAGGUGCAGAAGAAACUUUAUGAGCAAAUUGAGGUGCAGAGACAUUUGCAGCUUAAGAUUGAAGCACAAGGGAAGUACUUGCAAUCAGUACUACACAAGGCACAAGAAACACUUGCAGGAAUGAUCAACAAUGGCAGCCCGGGAUCUCCUCCGAUUUCGGAACUGACAGAAACAAGAGGAGGGUUCAGUUGGAGCUGUGGGCAGAGGAAACAGAACAGAGGAACCAUGUGUUCACUUGAAAUUUAAAGUUCUUUGACAUCUUCUGAAAGCUCAAUGGAUCAAAGGCCUCAUAGUACUAACACUACUAAUACUGCUUCACUUGAAUUGUUGCCACUCUUCAAAGAAUCUAAGGAACAAGAAGAUGAAUCUAUUAUUAGGAGAAAGAGGAGUUCAAGCUGCUUUGUUGAUCAGCCAUCAAAGAUGAGCAGAUCUAAAUUAUUAUAUAAAGCUGUGUUCUUCCAAGGAUGGCAGCUUCUCGUCAUCAUGGAAAAGGGUUUGCUUGCAACUUUCAAGCACCACACUCAGCUUCCCUCUCUGCUAAAGGACAAUGUUUAACUUUUUAACAAGGAAAGAUGUGAGAAAGAUUCUCAAGCGUAAAGACAGUGAUGCUGGUGAAAAAGAUUCAGCUCCCUCUAAAGAAACAGAUCAUGCUCAACAGCUCAAGUAUGCUUCACACUUCAAAGGGAUAACAUCAAUGCAUCAACGAUAGGAUUUAGCAUAUGGGACAAGUCAAGCAUGGAUAUAAAAUAUGCAAGUAAAUUGAUAUUUUUUGGAUAAAUAUUAAUUACUAUUUUGUUAUGACAAUUAUUGUUAGACAAGAAUUUUAUUAUUUUGUUGAAAAUUAUUGAUAAACAUGUAUUUGAAAUACUAAUUAAACUUUUUAAUAUCUAUUUUAAUUAGAAUUUUAUUAUUAGUUA